UCUCCCUCCCCUAAACCUCCUGAGGCUGGGUGUAGGGAGACCGAAGGACAAUGAUUCUUUCUCUUCCUCAGUUCUCAGACCCUCAGCCCAUCUGAGCUGCUCCUUCUGGGAAGUGAGUGUACCCUGGCUGACAGCAUCAUAGCAACGAGGCCCUCAUGUCGCCUUGGAUCAGCUUUGAUUGACUUUCCACUUUGGAGCUAUUCUUGGGAGCUCCUUGCUCAGUUCUACCGGGAGCCCUUGGGGCUAAAGACCUAGAUGACACCUUCCCACCCAUUCACGUGACUGUGGGCCAAGAGCCAGCCUUGCAAAAUGCUUUGAAAUCCGCUGAGGUGCACUCUCCAGAAAUAUCAGCUGUUCACCAGGUCUGCUAAAGGAUGUGGCCAGAGCAUCUGGUGUUUCCGGUGGGGAGAGUCUUCUGUAGGUCUCAGUGGCUGCUGUUGUCCUGUCCCUGUCCAGGGCUUUGCAGACUCUCAUGACUGAGUUUGCC
rnacentral:lncRNA from 1 species